GUAACACUAACUGGAGGACCGAACCCACUGUCGUUGAAAAGCCAGGGGAUGACUUGUGGAUAGGGGUGAAAGGCUAAUCAAGCCUGGUGAUAGCUGGUUCUCCCCGAAAGCUAUUUAGGUAGCGCCUCGGACGAAUACCAUAGGGGGUAGAGCACUGUUUCGGCUAGGGGGUCAUCCCGACUUACCAAACCGAUGCAAACUCCGAAUACCUAUGAGUACUAUCCGGGAGACAGACUGCGGGUGCUAACGUCCGUAGUCAAGAGGAAAACAAUCCAGACCGCCAGCUAAGGCCCCAAAAUCAUAGUUAAGUGGGAAACGAUGUGGGAAGGCAUAGACAGCUAGGAGGU
rnacentral:rRNA from 1 species